rnacentral:lncRNA from 1 species
CAAUCAUUGUUGAAAGAGCAGGAUCUAGUGCCUGGGUGCACAAAAGCUGGAGAUUUCGAGAAGAGUUUGUGCGGACGAUCACCUCAGUAAUUGGGCUUUUUGCAUCAAUUGAACUUCCACUUCAGCGUAUUAUACCUCAUUCGAUUCUACAGAUGUUAAGUGAUCCAAAUCUUGGCGUCUGAUCUCGAGUGGUACUCCCAGCGCUUGGUUAUGAACACAAAGCAGAAUGAAAAGGGGCGUGAGGCAAUUGAUGUUUGGAAGUCCAGCUACUCGAAAUUCUACUAUGGGUGCAGUCAAAGAGGGCCUCGUUAUGCUCCCGACGCACCUCCAUGGAAGGAGAUGGAUGCUCGACGUCAAAAUGAUGGAUGUAAGUUGACUGUAGAGAUCAGAUUUCCUGCUGCCAACCCCUGCAGUUUUGAAAGUUGCAGGAAAGGGAGUGGGAAACAAAAACCCCACCCACUACUCGAUCAGUCUCGGAGAUCAUUACAAAAAGCAGAAAAACCGAGAAAAAGCAUAAAGCAAAAGUGGAAUAAAGGAAAAAGAGGAAUGAGAAAAACACUUGGAUAAGUAUACUGACAUUUUACAGCUGGAGUACACUGACCUUUUGCUAAGGUUUGCGCUGCUCACCCAUGUUGUAAACCUGUAAUGCAGCAAAAAAAAAGAAAAAGACUUGUGUUGAGUGCUUGAAUCUUAAUAUUGCUUACUAAUUAGAUUGUCAGAGAGCCUUUGACUAACAUACCGCACCCCCCAGAGGCCCGGCCCGGUCUUUAGCUUUCUUAUGGCAGUUUGUUCUGUUACAAGUUAACGAGUUUAGGCAUCUCCAUUACUCACAGUAAUGUGCAAAUUUAAUUUCAACACUUGUGACAAGUGGGGAAGGGCACUCGUGCCUUGUCUCAAUCAUAAAUUUAUACCCAAUGAUGAUACUCAUCAACUUCUCAG